CGCACCCGACAGUCGAAACGUAUGCUGUAGGACAUUUCUAAGCAGUUCAUUUACGCUGAGGAGGAAACAUGAUCUGCAUCUUUGUCUUGUCGUGUCUUGCAGGUCUCAGUUUGGGGCUUGAGGUCCAUCAGUCCCACUCUGAUCUCAUCAAAACAACUGGUGAUAAAGUUCACAUUUUCUGCACCCAUGAAAGAACCAACUACAGACAGAUUCUCUGGUACCAACGGAGACCCGCAGACACGGCCAUGAAGCUCAUCGGAUAUUUGUACUUCAAAGACCCGAGUAUGGAAGACGGAUAUAAAGAGGACUUUGGGAUCUCUGGAGAUCUGGGAGGGGAUACGGCGAAGAACGGAUCCCUGAUGAUCCAAACCGUGAAACAGAAUCACACCGCCGUCUACUACUGCGCUGCGAGAGAAGCACAAUGACAAAAAUCCUCUCUGCACCUCAACAAUAACUGUGCUGUGUUUUAUCAUCAGUGGUUUUAUAGAAAAAUGAUUAAACGUCUUUCAAGCACCUGCUUCUGUGGUUGGACAGAUGGAAGAUUCAACACAUAGACUGAAUAUCUGAGUCACUUUGUUGGAAUUAAACAUUUUUACCACCGACUGAAAACCUACUGUUACCCGCUACACACACAAAUACAUACAAACACUUAUACACAACAACGUCACUGCAUUUUUGUUUUUUUAAAUAUUUUUUGCAAAUGAGAGGCUUCAAAUUUAAUAAGAAUUUGAAACAAAUGUCAAAAGCAGUUUUUAGUGUCAACAAAUGCUAAUUUUUC